CCCAAGGAACUCGACGAGGAAAACGAUGUGUUUCGCCCGUCGAGUUCCUCGGUCGUGUGUACGAGGCCUCACACUUUCCCUUUCUCCAGUUUUUGAAAAUUGGAGUAAGCAUGCCAUCGUAUUUAACCAUCAAUCUGCCAGAAGGUUUGUGCUGUUUACAAGUGGCUACCAGCAAAUGAGUUAAAUACAAAGUGGUGUGCUUUGGGCACAACAGGGUUAGUGUACAUAGGGAUGCAUUUCUAGUUACGUUUUCCACAGAUAUCCUGUUGGUCACCAUAGCUAUCUUUAAAGUGCACCUCAAGCAAAAAAAAUUUUUUUUCACCUUUGGAUUUAGUGGGGAAGGGUAAAACUGGGCAUACAGCAGUAGAAUUUCAUUCAAAAAGUUUUGGGGCCAAAUCAACAUUUUUUUUUUUACUGUAGUGACAAGAAAAUUGAAGGAGUAGGAUUUAAAAAAAUUUAAACAAUUUUCGUUGAGAAAAAUCAUGCAUAUUGUAAUGAAACCUGUUUUGAGCUGGCUAUACAUGGAUCAAAAUUCAGAGAGUUCAGCAGGGACUGGCCGAAUUUAGAUCCAUAUGGUCAAAUAGAAUUCAGUUUAGCGAUUGACCUCUGUUCAGCUUCCCUGUCAGGCCUCGUACACACGA